UAGGGAAUCUUCCGCAAUGGGCGAAAGCUUGACGGAGCAACGCCGCGGGAGUGAUGAAGGUCUUCGGAUCGUAAAACUCUGUUAUUAGGGAAGAACAAAUGUGUAAGUAACUAUGCACGUCUUGACGGUACCUAAUCAGAAAGCCACGGCUAACUACGUGCCAGCAGCCGCGGUAAUACGUAGGUGGCAAGCGUUAUCCGGAAUUAUUGGGCGUAAAGCGCGCGUAGGCGGUUUUUUAAGUCGGAUGUGAAAGCCCACGGCUCAACCGUGGAGGGUCAUUGGAAACUGGAAAACUUGAGUGCAGAAGAGGAAAGUGGAAUUCCAUGUGUAGCAGUGAAAUGCGAAGAGAUAUGGAAGAACACCAGUGGCGAAGGCGACUUUCUGGUCUGUAACUGACGAUGAUUUGCGAAAGCGUGGGGAUCAAACAGG
rnacentral:rRNA from 1 species